rnacentral:rRNA from 1 species
GACGAACGCUGGCGGCGUGCCUAACACAUGCGAGUCGAACGGAAAGGCCCUGCUUUUGUGGGGUGCUCGAGUGGCGAACGGGUGAGUAACACGUGAGUAACCUGCCCUUGACUUUGGGAUAACUUCAGGAAACUGGGGCUAAUACCGGAUAGGAGCUCCUGCUGCAUGGUGGGGGUUGGAAAGUUUCGGCGGUUGGGGAUGGACUCGCGGCUUAUCAGCUUGUUGGUGGGGUAGUGGCUUACCAAGGCUUUGACGGGUAGCCGGCCUGAGAGGGUGACCGGCCACAUUGGGACUGAGAUACGGCGCAGACUCCUACGGGAGGCAGCAGUGGGGAAUAUUGCACAAUGGGCGGAAGCCUGAUGCAGCAACGCCGCGUGCGGGAUGACGGCCUUCGGGUUGUAAACCGCUUUCGCCUGUGACGAAGCGUGAGUGACGGUAAUGGGUGAAGAAGCACCGGCUAACUACGUG